GACUGUCUCCCUCUGUAGAUCACGAGCUCCCGAAGCCUGGGUCUUUAUCUGUUCUCUGCUGCAUCUCCAGGGACCUCAGCUGUGCCUGGCACAUAGUUGGUCCUGCUGACAUAUGUGCAGAAGGAAUGAGUGAAGGCUCAGAGAGCUGCCUCUUAGGCUGUAGCGCAGGAGAUUGAGAACCCUCAAACAUCCCCGGUUCUAGACCGGAUGAUCUGACUCUGUCAUUUUGCAGACCUUCCUCCCGUUGCUUUCGCGGCUGGUUCUGAGGCUGCUGCCAUCUGUGGCCAAGUCUGCUUUGUCAACAGCAGCGGCGCUGCAGAGGGGCUCGGACCCGCUGAUAGAAGCUCCUGUUCCAGCGGGUGCCUGGCUGAUGCCCUGUGAUGAUGUCACAGCCACAGAUCCUGAUGGCAGCCGUGAUGGUAACGGUCCCAGCUACCCCAGCCGUCUCGCUUGAUGGGGUGACCAAGGGCCCACAGAUUGCUCCUGAGUGCGCCUCUCUAGUGACAGAUGAUUCUGAAACCAGCCCAUCUGGUUUGAUCCAGAGGAGAAAACAACAACUAUAUGUAUUUUUCCUUUUUCCUUUUGGCGGAGAAGUUGCAGUCAUCUAGAAAUCAUUUCAAGGUCAUCCAAAUGCCUGAGGCCCGGCAGACACGGACUCCUGAGCAUCGUCUCCAUCCUUGAAGGACAAGGUUCCAUCUCUGCAUCUCCAGCACCAGCACAGGGCCUGGCACGAGGCAGAGCUCAAAGCAGGGAGUGUCUGUUGACUGCCCAGGCGAGGUCAGACAGGAGCCGGCCCACUGGCCUGUAGGACGUCCCACAGAAUGGAUAAUAAAGACCUCAUGUCAUUACAUGUGGUCUUUGCGGGGAAAGAAACACACUGUGGUGUCAUGAGAGGAGCUUCGGGGGAACUGACCUGGUCCCUGGGCCAGGAUGCGGGGAUAAUGACAGACACAGAAGAAUCCCUCAAGGAGGUGACAUUUCAUCUGAGACAUGACAGUACUCCCACCAUGUGUGUCAUCUGCACCUCUGUGUGGAGUAGGAAGGUCUCAAGCUCAAGGUCCCUGGCGGGUAAACAACAAUCAAAACAAUUUCAAGUUCACGGACAUCCUCUGCAAUCAACAUCAACCGCUCCAUCAGGAAAACAGGACCUUGUAUUGUUGGUGAGUAGCAGGUAAUUCACGAGCUUGUCAGCAUGACCCACGGCCCCUGAUCUGUAUCAAUAUGAAAUAAGAAUGCAUUUAAGAGGUGUCAGGAAAACAUGGCACGUGCCCCCCCCCCCAUUUGACAUCGAUUCAUUCAUGUAUGAAACUGAGUCUUUGUGAUGGUGAAGCAUUAAGGAUCCUGUGUGGUCAGAUUAAUAUCAUGGAACCAGAGGGCGGAAGCAGGUUAUUAAAUGUCCCCUACUUUGCCUUCCUUCCAACGGGCAGAAGAAAACAAACAGAAGGCUUAGAUGCAAAUGUGGAUUUAUGUCCAAGGAUUCAUGAAAGCAGCAUAGACUGAGAAAGGGAAAGCAGGGUAGAUGUCCCAGAUAAUUCAGGUUAAAAAGACUUUUAUUGGAAGCAUCAUAGUCAUCCAGGCGCAGCUUGUAUCUAUAGAUUCUGCCAUAGGUUAUCCAUCCUUCUUGUAGAAGAACCUCAAGGUUCAUGCCAACAUUCAGUGGAAAUGUGGAAGCAUCAUUGAAAUUCCUUGAGCCAAGGGCAGGUGUUCAGGUCCCAGGCCUGCUACCACCUGUGGUUUCACUUCCCUGCCAGACUGUGGAAUUUUUCAAACAACUCACUUCAGCGCAUCUCAGUUCUCCCAUUGAGUCCAGGCCACUGCUUCACAGUAGGAAUGAGGACGCACAGUGUUAAAUUGUUGUUAUUUAUACAGCUCAUUCGUCUGUUCUUUAAUGAGCUUGGGGAGUCAUGUUAAAGAAGUGCAGGCCUGUCUGCUGACCAAAGGUCCCACACUGGGCGGCAGAUCUGUCCUUGAAGGGAGAUGGGGGCAGUGCGUGUCCCCAUCCUGGACCAGACUGGAGACGGUCACCAGGGGGCUGAGGUUACAUCCCAGGCUUGUCCUCUGGCCAGCAGUGUGUGUGUGAACAGACCAGACCUUGGAAUCAAGGUGAACCAGACCCCUGAAUCUAGAAAAUAAAAUCUGUAAAGUGGGAAGAACACUGAACUGCACUGAUUCUAAGGUGCACCCUUUUCACAUGUUAAUAUCUCUUGAAUCUGGUUGUGUCACAUAAUCGAUGGAGUCUCAUUGUUGCAUCGUAAUUCAGUUGUCAAUGUUUUCUUUCUUAGUGGCACAUAAAACAAUGAUGC